CUGAAUAUGGCUCAGUUUGGUAGAGCACCUGUUUUGGGAACAGGAGAGCGCAGGUUCAAAUCCUGCUAUUCAGA
rnacentral:tRNA from 1 species